GCACCCAGCCGCCCGCGCCGGCGCUGCGGGGCUCGCUGCGGGAGCGCCGGGCCGAGCGGAGAAGAUAAAAUAAUGGAAUUCUUAAUCUGCAUUCCUCACCUGAGGACACUUCCUAACAAGUCCUGUGCUUUUUCUCCUGUGUGCUUUUUUAAUUACCCUGAUAUUUAGUUCUGUUCUAGCAGCAGAGCUGCAGAAGUUUUCAGCUUGUAGGUGUGAUUUCUAACUGACAUGAUGUUGUAAUAAAGUUAUAGGAAUAUCAGCUCCUACUUAACCUGCAUACUAUAAUGUUUAAUGUCUUGUCCAUUAAAAUAAAAUUAUUGAA